rnacentral:lncRNA from 10 species
CGGCGACGGCCGGAGGUGUACGCGGUGGGGGGAGUGGCAGCGGGAAGAGGCCGGCCGAAGCGCGCGAGGGGUGGGGCCUGCGCGAGCUUUUACUGGGGCGGCCUCUCAACCCUAGGUCAGCGGGUUGCGGAGGAUCGUGCGGGUCGCAAAGGGAAGCCGAGUGCUCCUGCGGCUCCCAGACUGCAACCAGUUGCUUCCUCUACUGAAGUCUUGAAACCCCUGAAAGUCAUCCCUGAGGUUUGAAGUUAACUUCUUCUACACCCUGUUAAUGUUGAUAUUUUGACCUCCUUCCAUGAAUCACAAAUGUUCUUAAUGGCAUCUAGAAUGGUGGUGUAAAUCCAAACCGCUUCCAACUCAAGGCAAGUAACAGCCCACGGUGUUCUGGCAGGAAAACAUCAGCUAAGAAAGGAAACUGGGUCCUAUGGCUUGGACUUUCCAACUCUGACAGACCGGCAGGACAGAAACAACUGGUUCAGGAGCCCUUGCCAGCCUCUAGAGAAAUCCCAGAACACUCAGCCCUGAUGACACAUUAAUACCCUGCACAUAUUGGAGACUGCUGACCACGCAUACUCACCAAGCCACAGACUUGUCUUCCACAAGCACGUUCUUACCUCAGCCACAAAGUGCCCAAGCCACAUGUACUAAAGGUUGAAAUCAGAGACAUGUACAGGGUAUUAAACAGAUACCAAGGGGAACAGUUAACUUGAAUAUAGCUUGAAUAGAAAGUCAAAAUCAGCAACAAGUCUACAAUCCAGUGCUGAUAUCAGAUACAAGCUUCAAGGACAACUUUCUGUGUAUGUUUUUUUUUUUUUUU